rnacentral:pre_miRNA from 1 species
UUUUAAGUAUAAGUAUGUCCCAUGCAAUAUUUGGGACAUACUUAUACUAAAA